rnacentral:rRNA from 1 species
AUACGUAGGGUGCAAGCGUUAAUCGGAAUUACUGGGCGUAAAGCGUGCGCAGGCGGUUUUUGAAGACAGAGGUGAAAUCCCCGGGCUCAACCUGGGAACUGCCUUUGUGACUGCAAGGCUAGAGUACGGCAGAGGGGGGUUGAAUUCCGCGGGGAGCAGUGAAAUGCGUAGAUAUGCGGAGGAACACCGAUGGCGAAGGCAAUCCCCUGGGCCUGUACUGACGCUCAUGCACGAAAGCGUGGGGAGCAAACAGGAUUAGAUACCCUGGUAGUCCACGCCCUAAACGAUGUCAACUGGUUGUUGGGUCUUCAUUGACUCAGUAACGAAGCUAACGCGUGAAGUUGACCGCCUGGGGAGUACGGCCGCAAGGUUGAAACUCAAAUGAAUUGGCGGGG